UUAAAUUUAAUUAAGUGAAAUGACCCUGCUUUUUAAUUUAUAAAUGGUCUUAUGCACUGACUUAAUCUUAUUUUUACAUGACUUUUUAGGAGAUGUUGCACACACAGAAACAAGAGAGCUCUUGGGAGCACCUAAUCGAAUCGGAAAGGAACGGGAAGCAGUGACAUAACGAAAAGCCAGUGCAGAAUGGAACAAAAAGCAACGGCUUCUACAGACCCACUCCUUCUGUGCUGCCUGUAGAAGGAGGAAUUCCUUCAGAGGCACAGUAUCUUACUGUAAAACUAAGUUUGGUUUGAGGCAUGAUCUCCUGUGGAAGUGUCUUCCUGUCUCUUGGCAAUAAUGAUUAUACAGAAAACAGCAGCUGAGAGUUUGAAGCAGAAGCAACACCUGCUGGCGAAACCAAAGUCUGGGAAUCUGCUGAGCUGUCCUCCUGGAAAAGCAGGUUUGAUCAUUACUGCAGGCCUAGGUAAACUGCUCUAGAAUGAAAAAAUCCUGUCCACCAUCGUGAUUUUGGAAGGUGUCUGUAAGGGCAGGUAACUGAUUC
rnacentral:lncRNA from 1 species